rnacentral:rRNA from 1 species
CCUACGGGGGGCUGCAGUGAGGAAUAUUGGUCAAUGGGCGCAAGCCUGAACCAGCCAAGUCGCGUGAGGGAUGACGGUCCUAUGGAUUGUAAACCUCUUUUGUCGGGGAGCAAGGCCCGCCACGUGUGGCGGGAAGGAGAGUACCCGAAGAAAAAGCAUCGGCUAACUCCGUGCCAGCAGCCGCGGUAAUACGGAGGAUGCGAGCGUUAUCCGGAUUUAUUGGGUUUAAAGGGUGCGUAGGCGGAAGGUUAAGUCAGCGGUCAAAUGUCGGUGCUCAACACCGGCCUGCCGUUGAAACUGGUCGUCUUGAGUGAGCGAGAAGUAUGCGGAAUGCGUGGUGUAGCGGUGAAAUGCAUAGAUAUCACGCAGAACUCCGAUUGCGAAGGCAGCAUACCGGCGCUCAACUGACGCUGAGGCACGAAAGCGUGGGGAUCGAACAGGAUUAGAUACCCCAGUAGUC